AAAAAUUUAUAUCGACUCAUUUUCUUCUUCCUUCUCUCUCUUACCCGAUAAUAUCUCUGCAAGGCGAGAUCGACCUUCUCUGCUUAAUUUGAGGAGAUGGAUAGUUAUCUGAGGUGAUCGGACGUUUUAUCAUCAUCUCUACCGUUGCCGAGUGUCAAUGUCGACUGUGGUGCAGCUAAUCGGCCAGUCGAUUCAUGGAAAACGUGAGAGCUAACUUUGAGUUUUUAAAGAAACUUGGUGUUGAUUGGUGGUGUUUCCAUGACAGAGAUAUAGCACCUGAUGGCAGUACACUUGAGGACUCUAACAGAAACUUGGAGUUACGCUGCUGCUCAAGUGAAGAAGGCAAUGGAGGUGACACAUUACUUGGGCGGUGAAAACUACCUUUUCUGGGGUGGCCGUGAAGGUUAUCAGACGCUCUUGAACACUGACAUGGGAAAAGAGCUUAAUCAUCUUUUUGGUCAGGGAGACCAUGGUAGACUUGUGAUCAGUUUGGUCGGGUCAACAAAUGGCAACAACUAGAGAAUUCAAGCAAGAUGAUU